rnacentral:rRNA from 1 species
ACCACGAGGGUUAGACUGUCUCCUUUUUCAAAUCAGUGAAAUUAAUCUCCCCGUGAAGAAGCGGGGAUACCCAUAUAAGACGAGAAGACCCCAUGGAGCUUCAAACCCAACUACACCCCUAGCUCUUAUAGCCCCACAACCCCCCUAGGCACCGUGUGCUUGGUUUUAGGUUGGGGCGACCGCGGAGUACAAUAAAACCUCCACAAUGAAUGGGAACACCCCCUUAUCUGAGGGCCACNCCCCCUAAGAAUUAGAACACUAACAUAAAAUGAUCCAUUACUUGAUCAAUGAACCAAGUUACCCUGGGGAUAACAGCGCAAUCCAUUUCAAGAGCCCCUAUCGACAAAUGGGUUUACGACCUCGAUGUUGGAUCAGGGUACCCCAGUGGUGCAGCAGCUACUAACGGUUCGUUUGUUCAACGAUUAAAACCCU